rnacentral:rRNA from 1 species
AAACCUAGUCCCAGUUCGGACUGGAGUCUGCAACCCGACUCCACGAAGUUGGAUUCGCUAGUAAUCGCGCAUCAGCCAUGGCGCGGUGAAUACGUUCCCGGGCCUUGUACACACCGCCCGUCAAGCCAUGGGAGCCGGGGGCGCCUGAAGUCCGGGACCGCGAGGACCGGCCUAGGGCGAAACUGGUGACUGGGGCUAAGUCGUAACAAGGUAAC